UACAAAAAUGUCUUAAAAAUAUUUGUUCGUAUUUCAAAAAGUAUUUGUAUUCGAUGUAGUAGUUUUCUUGAAUUUUGUUACUUUUUUUCUUACAAAAAAGUAAUGGCUAUGUCUUAUUUUAAUCAUGAAUUAUUUAGUUUAUCGGCUGUUAUUGUUAAUAUUAAUGUUAAAUUGUGUGCUAGAAUUGAGAGUGGCGUUAAACAAUUACUAAGCCUUGUAACAAGCAAUGGCGAAUUGGUUUUACACUAUGUUUUUGGGGGUUUAAAACCAAUCGCAAAACGAAUUCCAUGGUUUGAAGAAACGAAAAAGACUAUUCAACAUAUUUGUUUUGACCCUACGGCAACUUGGCUUCUUGUACUCACCUUAGAUUCAUCCUUGUAUAUAGUACCUGCAUUAAAAAUAUUAGAUCCUGACCAAAAAAUCGAUUGCAAGUGGUCCGUAAAUGAUUUAACAUACUUUCCAAAAACAAACAAAACUCCAGAUGCAACACCAGGAUGUGUAAUAUGGUGGCAAACACUCGAAUGCAAUCAAAAUGCGAUUAUUGGUUAUGAUAGUGGUGAAAUAUGUUUUGUCAGUUUAACGGAUGGUCAAACUAUCGGGACAACAACAAUUACUGGACCUGUAGUCAAUUUACAUUUGUGUCAGGAUAAUAGUUUAGAUUCUGUAACAUUGUUAAUAACUAGUGAAAGUAAACAACAAUGGCGGUUGUUAUUAGAACAACGCUCUACCAGUUACAUUUGGGCGUCUGAUUGUAGUUUCAUACCAAAAUUAUCAAAUCAUCCCGAUUUAUCGAUUCUCACCAGUAAUUUUCAAUCGGAGAAUGAAAUUAAAGGUAGUACACGAUCACGAUUACAAGGUUUAAAACAAAUGAGCGUGGAUAAAUUGGCUACGUUACGACAAAAGUUAGCUGAAACACGAUCAAAAGGAAUUAAUUUAACUCGAAAAGGUAUCAAAGAUUACUCAAUGACAAAUAUGCCUGAAAGGAAGUAUUCUGGAAAUGAAUUUACUGGCCAAGUAAAUGAUAUUACUGUACCAGAAAAGUUAACAAAUUUAGGUGAAACUUUUUUACGACCACAGUAUGCAAAAAAUCGACAUUUAUUUUCAGGAUAUUUUAAUCCAACAAGUCUUUUAACUAUCCAUGGUGUCGAAGUUGAUGGAAUGCCUUUAUAUGUGCAUAAAUUACAUUUAAAUUGUCGAGAUAUAUUAAUGACCGAUCGAUUCUUUUACACUGUUGAUCAAAAUUAUAACAGUGUUUCAAUUGUCAGUUGUCAAUUGUCUGAAUCCCGUUUGGAUGGAGAUUGUGAGUUCAAUCCAGAUGCACUAAUUGCAACAUUCGAAUUACCAAAUAAAAACGAAAUAGUCUUAGCUAUUUACAAAUUGACUGAUAUAUCAUUAAUUAUCGAUCGUGGUAAUGUUGAUUCAGGAACAAAAUCAGAUCCAGUAUUUACUUUACCCAGAACUGUUAAUGAUUUACAUAUCCGUAAUCCAAAAGUAGAUACAUGUGUUAUUGUUACAAAUUUUGGAGUUUAUAAAAUUAUACUCAAAUGUUCUAUUAUCCAAGUUUUUAUGUAUUUUGUAUGUGAAGAAAAUAAUAUUGAAAAAGCAGAAAAAUUAGCUUUAAUUUUUGGACUAAAUUUACAACAACUUUUAGAAUAUGCUGGUGAUUUGUUACUAGCAAAUAGUAGAUUUAUUGAUGCAAUAUCUUUGUAUAAAUUAUCGAGGUGCCGUCUUUUAAAAUCAGUGUUAAAAUUUGCGGUAGCGGGCAAUGCGAAUGAAUUAUUAACAUAUAUUCAAACAUGCUUAGCAGCACCAAAUAUUGAAAUAUCGUUACCAACAAAAAUUCACCUUUCAAAUUUAGCUGUGAUGUCAUAUACCGAAAAACAUUUACGUCUUGACAAAUUUUCACGAUUAAAAACAAAAAAUUUAAAAGAAUUCGUGAAUUUUUUGUCAAAAAAUGAAUAUUAUGAUCAAGUAUUAGCUGUAAAUGUACUUUGUCAAACAGCCUUAUGGACAUUAAUGACAAUUUUAGUACGCACACGUGGUUUAGUAUGUGAUGUAUUAGAGACAAUAUGUAAAUUAAUAAAAUCAACAAAUUGUGGAACAUCUGUAAUGCCUUCAACAAGUGAUUUAAAUGAUUAUUUUUUGUAUAUAUGUCUAACAGAACCAUCAAAUUCACAAUGUCUUCUUGUUAAACCUGCAAUAGCUAAAAUAUAUUUUAAUUUUAUACGUAAUAGGAUAGAUCAUUUAGAAGCACAAAUUUUACAGCGCCUAGUUGAGUUAUUAGACCCAACAAAUCCAACUAUCAGACCAAUUAUCUCCAGGCUUUUUGAAAUUUACAAAGUUCGUCAAAGGACAACAUCAACUGGUUUAGAAUCAACUGUGGAUCAUCAAGAUUCACUUGAAGCAAAUGAUGAACAACUAACAGCUUUUCAAGAUCUAAUGGAAACGUUUAUUCAUGUAAUGUUAAAACGCAUUCUAUUAAAUUAUCCUUCAAUAGUUUACGAUGAUCAGUUAAUGGUGUUAUCAAAAUGUUCAUACGCAGGCAAUCAAGAUCCGAUUGUAUUAAAUCGUAAAUAUCGGACACUUAGUGCUGGCUAUGGACAUGUUGCAUUAGUUCGAAACAAUACAGUAUGGACAUGGGGUAUCACUGCUCAUGGAUGCCUGGGUUUAGGCCCGUUAAUGACAAAAUUCCAUUUACCACAACCGAUUGAAGCUUUUAAUCAGCUUUGGUCAGAUAUUAUAAGUGUGGCUUGUGGUAGGACGCAUACGCUAAUUUUAACAAAUUUUGGUGUAUAUGCUUGUGGAUCGAACACCUAUGGUCAAUUGGGCCUAGAACAAAUUAUGCAAACUCCAUAUCCUAUUAUGAUUGAGAGUUUAUCAUCCGAAUUCAUUUGUGAUAUUUGUGUUGGGCAAUAUCACUCAUUAGCAUUAACUGCGUCGGGAAGAGUGUAUUCUUGGGGUUGGGGUGUACAUGGACAAUUGGGUCAUGGUAAUAUUGAAGAUGUGCGGACACCUACAUUAAUAGAAUAUUUUAAGGAUAUUGUAAUUGCACAAAUUGCUGCUGGUCAUGCGCAUACAUUAGUAUUAACUUCGAAAGGUAUUGUUUAUAGUUUUGGAUCGAAUUUUGUUGGACAAUUAGGUAUAGGAACAACAAGAAAGUAUAAUGUUCCUCAACAAAUUACAAAAUUGCCGGAAAAAAUUGUUUUAAUUAGUACGGAAUACUUUCAAAGUUUUGCAGUUAGUUCCUCAAAUAAAUUGUAUACGUGGGGUGCCAGUCCCCAAGUCUUACGACUUGCUGCACAAGCACAAAAAAAGGCUAAGUUACUUAAUAAUUCGAAUAUAUCUGUUGGCGAUAAUACAACAGUGAAUAAUCGUAAUGAAAUUAUUCCUAAUAAUAUUGAUAAUAAUGUGCCAAAUAUUGUGGGAGAAAAUUUGAAUGAGAAAUUGUCAAAUGCAGGUGAUAUUAGUUCUGAUUCAGAUACGGAUAUUACUCAAAAAAUUGAAAGUGAUGUUAAUAUCGAAGUGACACCACCGAUACUUGAUCCAGAAAUUCAACCACAUUUACAGCCAAAACUUGUAAAUACAUCUAAUGUAAACGGUAUUAUUGUAAACGUGGUAUCGGGAUGCCACCACGCUGUACUUCUAACCAAAGAUGGUACAAUGUAUGCUUGGGGUAAAAAUUUAGAUGGACAAUUAGGUAUUGGUUCACGAAAAGAAGUUUUAAUACCAACGCCAGUGAGAAUCAAUUCUGCAAAUUUUGUUAGCGGAGUGAAUACCCCUGUGAAACAGGAUGAUGUGAAUUUACAAGAAUUAAAAUGUAGUUAUGUUGCAUGUGGUGCUGAAUUUACGGUGGCUAUUGACUCAACAGGACGUGUUUUAGCAUGGGGAAAUAAUGCUUUUGCCCAGCUUGGUAAACUACCCGAUGAGGAUCAAAAAGGCCUAGAUGGAAAAAUGGUACUACUAAAAACAACUAAACGGAUUAUCAAACUACCCAGCUCAUUUCAAAAUAUAUGUGAUACACCCAAGGAAAUCAUGAAUAUACCAAGCCAAGUAAUUUCUUUUAAAAAUAACGAUAAAAAACAAUUUUCCAACACAAUUCCAACAUAUUUUUAUCCAUUAUCAAAAAUAGAACUAUCCGAAGAUUUAGCUGAAAAUAAAAAUGUGCUUACCUAUGGUCCAAAAACAUUACAUUUUGUUCUUGAAACAUAUCGUGGAUUUUAUGAUUCAGAUAAAAUAAUGAAACUAUGUUUAAAAUAUAAAAAUUACCAAGCGGCAAGUAAAAUAUCAUUUUUGGAAAAUUAUUUUACCGAUAGUUUAAAUUAUCAACUAAAAGGGCUGGAAAAUUUGAUACUUAAAAAGAAAAGUUGUACGGAAAUUAUAAACGAAAUACCAGUUUGUAAGAAACUUGAGGUUGAUACUCCAGUAGCGGGGCUAUCGAAUGGAGUUAAAGAAACGAUUAAUAGUGGUUUCGUGAAAAAGUUUACGGAAAAUGAUAUUAGUUUUAGUCCAUCUUUGGAGAGUAUAAAGCAAUUUAAUGAUGAUUUUGAAGAAAGUCAAGGUGGUCAAGAGGAAAUGUGCGAAGUAAUUCCUGAAGAUGUUACAACUAAAUUUGCGAACGUUUCAAUCGAUAUCGAUGAAGAUAAGAAAUUAUUGGUGCGCAAUACAAUCUUAGAAUAUGUGGACUCAAUCGACAGAAGUCUUAUUGACGAUGAUAAAUCAAUCGUACAAAAUUUAGAAAAUAAUUUAGUAAAUCAAGAAAAUAAUAAUUGUGAUGAGAAAAUUGGUGAUGAAAAACUAUCAUCAGAUGUUGAAAAUCAUAAUGGACCAAUGGUAAAUGAUGAUGGUAAAAUUAUACAAAUUACCGACACAACAUUGGUCGAUUAUGCAUCACAUAUUUUAAUGUUUUACAUAGAGAAAACUCAAAAUACAGAAAAUCAUAUUUUAAUGCAAAAUAUUUUGAUAAAAUCUAUGGAUUUUUGGUUAUCAAAUAAUUUACCAGUUGAAAUAUUAGAGAAUAUUUUGUUAAAAAAUAUGGCAAAAUAUUUUUAUCCAUUAUCAAUAUUAUUAUUUUGUAAAAAUUUUAAUAAUAAUUUAGGUGAAGCAAUAACUAAAACAGAUGAAACUUCUACAUCGUCAUCAACGUCAACGUCUACAACAACAACUCAAUCAGAAAAAUCAUUUAUGUUUUUAAAACAAUUAUCAACAAAAUUCUGUUUACAAUUAUGUUCGAUGGUGUUGAAAAAUGUAAAUAAAUCACAGCAAUCGAAUAAUACUGAUAAAUAAAGGUCGGAAAAAUGUGUGUUCAAAAUAAAAAAGUAAAACUUUCUUAAUUUUUGUUUGUUUUUGAAUAUCUUUUAAAUGACGGAUGUCUAUACUCUACACUAGAUGAAUAACCGGAAAUUCGCAUUGUGACUACUUAAUAUUUCAAUCGGAGCGGAUGCAACUGGAUUUUACUUUGAACAAUGAGAACCUUGCACAAAUUUUUAAUUUAUUUAAAUACUAGAUACUAGAAUAAGAAAAGUAAAAUUCAAACUUUAAAGAUGUGAAUUAUAUUUUGGAACUGUCUAUAUAACUGGAGGGUUCAUAGAAAGGAUAUUAAUU